CACGGACACCAGUUCGGAGGACGAGUGUGGGAGUGCAGGUCGUUGUCGUCGGUCGUGUUUCGUGAAAACUCAGGGAAAUUGGCGCCUCUUCCGAGAUGACAUCGAACGCUCAGUUGAAAUGGAAAAUAGCGUGCCUGGCGUUAGUCCUGAUCUGUCAGAUGACGCGGCAGGCCGAGGGACAUCCUCGCGCUGACCAGGUGACCAGAAGACCGCCCAUGAAACGGGAUCUGGCCAAGCAUCAGAAUAUCUCAAUGAACGGGACUUCCGUAUCUCCGAAACCAGAGCAGACGACGUCGCGGGAGAGUCACGAGAGGUCAACGUUAGAGGGAAAAUUUGUCUUUCCAUCGGACGACGACUCAACGAGCAAAAUCGACGUAGCAGGGCCACCGUCCUGCCGAGGCAGUACCUUCUGUGAAAAUGUUAUCCAUUAUCCCAGGAACUUGGUGGACUUGGCGAUCCAGGAAAACAGCAGUCUCAAAUUACUAACAAGCGUGGAUGUGAUUAAUACGGUGUUCGACAUAACGCAUAGAAUACAUACGUCGGACGAAACACCGCUCUGCAGUUCCGACGAAAAAGUGGUCUAUCCGCAGUCCGCCGAGAACAUUAAUAAUGAGUGGUUAUACGUCGUGAAUCAGGAGAAUUUCAAGCAAGGCGUGCGCGUCGAAAUUUGCAGCAACGAGGAGCAAAAGUGUAACGUGAUCGACGGCUUCGCCGAUAACUACCAGACCAUAUGCAAGCAGAAGUACAUCUCUCGCGAGCUAGUGGCGUUGGGAUCCAACGGCAAGAUUCACACGGACACGUUUCGCUUCCCGGCGAGCUGUUGCUGUCAUGUCAAAUACACCGGCGGCCCGACCCCGAGGUCGGCGAGAUAAGCGGGCUGGUGAAAAAAAGGAAGGAAGUUAGUACAAGAGAAUAGCGUAAUGCGUUUUUUCGGACGUGGCUCUCCUCACAAUCACACAUCUUCAGCGCGAAGUAAAGCCGAGGGAGAAGCCGACGAAUUCCUGCGGCCAAUCACUCGGUUCUUCCUUUCUUUCCGCUCUGCGAAGGGAAUCGGCGUUGCGACAAGUGAGAAACCGUUAAGUGUAAGUAGGAAGGCUCUCACGUGUCCGCUGCGGUCCUCAGCAGAGUGUAACGAGCGGUAGUACAGCGAGUCACGUUGCGUUUUGUACGAGUUUCCCAAGUGUUUCCGCUCCUCGGGAAUAAUAAUCGGCAACGUUAUAAUAGAUGUGGUUGCAAUUAACGGGGACCAGCGGGCGCGUGUAUAUCUCUAUAAAGAUGUUGUAGACAGUUGUUUCUGUUUGCCGUGUUCACUUUUCUUUUUGUUUCUUUAUAAAUAACGCAAAUAACGCAUUUUUUUGUAUUCGUCUCUCAUCGACGCGAUCGAAUUUCUACACACACAUAUAUAUAUAUAUAUAAUAUAUAUAUAUAUAUAUAUAUAUAUAUAUAUAUAUAUAUAUAUAUAUAUAUAUAUAUAGCAGGAUAAGAAACGUGUACAAAAUUAUUAUAAUUAUUAUUAUGUGAUAUUAUGUGAUACGAUUAUAUAUGUAUGUAUGUAUACUUGUGUGCGCGUUAGGAAUUAUAUUAACGUUGUAUUCUCCCUUACGUAUAAAGUACGAAUAAAGAAAGUGAGCUGUC